UCUAUUCACUACUCUUAUGUAGGGAGCCUUUAUGUCACGGAAUUUUCAAAGCUGUGUUUUUCCACUGCCCUGAAGAAGUGCCCGCCUCCUUUUCCGGGCAGCAGCUGGAGUAGAAGCCUUCCAAGCUGCGGAAACAGAUGUCAUCUCCAGGCUGCGCAGACUCCUCGCUUCGCUCAAAGUAAACACGGUAUCUAAGAAGAAGCAUAUCCCGUGGCUGUAGUGAGCAAUUUCAUCAGCCUGUUUUCUACACCUAGAAGUUUGAACUUCAAAUACCCUUUUUGGAUUUCAUAUUUAUCCUCUCUGUGCUCUCCGGAUCAGCCACAGAGGACGGUUCGCCGACUGUGACACCUAAGGGCGGACACCCGGUUGGGUUCUGAGGACAGUGACGCUGAGAGAGCUCCAUGGCUAUUGGAACAGAAACACCAGCCUGUCUCACUAUGGAAUCCAGAGUUCUUUUUGCAUUUAUUAUAACACUUUUUGGGUAGGAUGAAUUACACGGUUACACUGACAAUCACGGCUUCAAUGUGUUUCUUUACUAAAGAUUACGAGCACUUUGGAAAUAUAAAACAGAUGCACAGGUUUCUAAUCUGUCAUUUGGGAGCUAAACAGCUGAAGAAACUGUAGAGGAGUUUGGAACACAACAGGAAUGUACUGUACAUUUACAACAAGCGAAAAGGAACAAGUCCUUUGGGGCUGUGGAUGCUGAAUCCGGCCUGACGCGCAGAGGCAAGAUGAACAGGACACGUGGCCGGGCCUGGCCACCAGUACAAUCUCUGCUCCAUCAGGGAGGAACUCCACAGGUCCAGUGUACUCGGUGCUGUUUGCUUCAUUUCCUCCUUUAAAUUCCUAACAACACUCCUAAGAUUCAAAUCUGCCGUUGGUCAUUCUACUUCUAAAUCCCUAAACAGCCACCUUGACCACACUCUAUGUACGGGAAAUCAGCCUUUUUGGAAAAUGUUCUCUCUUAUUCCAACAACCUUAGGUACCUUGGGAUUCUGAGCUUGAGAUUAACAGGCCCUCCUGAAAAUGAUGCCAGUGUUUAUUUGGUCAGUAUGCGUCAUCAUUGCUCCGUAAAAUUUCUAAAAAUGUUACUUGUCAAACUCACAGCCAGUGUGUCUUGAUGGCAAAAGGCAAUUUAAAAUGGAUUUUUACCUUACACAAGAAAUGUGUUUCGGGAGCGCGGUGAGGAGGG
ensembl:lncRNA